GCUGCAAGAGUUGUAUGAUCCCCAGGGAGUUUAGAUUGACAAUAUGAUGUGCCAUUGAGAUUGACAUCCAGUGAACGAGGGAAAAACGAAGCGCCUUCGAGCAGCUAAGCUGAGCUGGAUAUCGGCGCUAUACAAAUGUUAGUAUGCAAUGCUAUGCUAUGCUAUAUACCACACGAAUGAAUGUAAUCUAUCAUGUCAUAGGUUAAACUAUUGAAUGUAAUAUAUCAUGUUAUGUCACACGACUGAAUGUAAUAUGUCAUGUUAUAUCACACUAAUGAGUAUAAUAUGUCAUGUUAUACCACACGACUGAAUGUAAUAUAUCGCGUUACACUACAGGACUGAAUGCAAUAUAUCAUGUUAUACCACACUAUUGAAUGAAAUAUAUCAUGUUAUACCACACUAUUGAAUGUAAUAUAUUAUGUUAUAUCACACGACUGAAUGUAAUAUAUCGUGUUAUACCACGCGGUAGAUUGUAAUAUAUCAUGUUAUACCACACUACUGAAUGUAAUAUAUUAUGUUAUACCACACUAUUGAAUGUAAUAUAUUAUGUUAUACCACAGGGUAGAUUGUAAUAUAUUAUGUUAUACCACACUAUUGAAUGUAAUAUAUCAUGUUAUACCGCAUGGUAAAUUGUAAUAUAUCAUGUUUUACCACACAACUGAAAGUUAUAAAUCAUGUUAUACCACACUAUUGAAUGUAAUAUAUUAUGUUAUACCACACUACUGAAUGUAAUAUAUUAUGUUAUACCACACUAUUGAAUGUAAUAUAUUAUGUUAUACCACAGGGUAGAUUGUAAUAUAUUAUGUUAUACCACACUAUUGAAUGUAAUAUAUCAUGUUAUACCGCAUGGUAAAUUGUAAUAUAUCAUGUUUUACCACACAACUGAAAGUUAUAAAUCAUGUUAUACCACACUAUUGAAUGUAAUAUAUUAUGUUACAUCACACGACGUAUACCAUAACACACGGGUGAUACAUAACGUAUGCCAUACCACACGGGUGAUACAUAACGUAUGCCAUACCACACGGGUGAGACAUAACGUAUGCCAUACCACACGGGUGAUACAUAGCGUAUGCCAUACCGCACGGGUCAUACAUUGCGUAUGCCAUACCACACGGGAGAGACAUAACGUAUACCAUACCACACGGGUGAUACAUAACGUAUACCAUACCACGCGGGUGAUACAUCACGUAUGCAAUACAACACACAUGUGAGACAUAACGUAAACCAUACCACAUUGGUGAGACAUAACGUAUGCCAUACCACACGGAUGAUCCAUAACGUAUACCAUACCACGCAGUGAGACAUAACGUAUGCCAUACCGCACGGGUGAGAUAUAGCGCAUGCCAUACCACACGGGUGAGACAUAACGUAUGCCAUACCACACGGGUGAUACAUAACGUAUGCCAUACCAUACGGUGAGACAUAACAUAUCCCAUACCACACGGUGAGACAUAACGUAAACCAUACCACACGGUGAGACAUAACGUAUACCAUACCAUAUGGAUGCCAUACCACACGGGUGAGACAUAUAGUGUGCGAUACGACACGGUGAGUUAUAUAGUGUGACAUACCACACAUGGGUGAAACAUAACGUUUGCCAUACCACACACUGGUAAGAUAUAACGUAUAUCAUAACCAUGGGUGAGACAUAACAUAUCCCAUACCACACGGGUGAGAUAUAGCGUAUGCCAUACCACACGGGUGAGACUUAACGUAUGCCAUACCACACGGGUGAGAUAUAGCGUAUGCCAUACCACACGGGUGAGACAUAACGUAUGCCAUACCACACGGGUGAUACAUAGCGUAUGCCAUACCACACGUUUGAUACAUAGCGUAUGCUAUACCACACGAGUGAGACAUAACGUAUACCAUG